rnacentral:tRNA from 1 species
GGGGUUGUGGGUCAGUGGUAGAUCACUCACUAGCAUGUGCAAGAUCCUGGGUUCAAUCCUCAGCACCACA